ACCGCUGUAGCACAUUUGGUAGUGGCGUUGGCAGUAGGUACAAAUGCCGAAGGACGCAGAUUCAAAUCCUGCCAGCGGUG